CAUACCUAUUCGAAGGGAUAGGGUCGGUUCGGCCGGAUUUUACACAAGUGUUGCAUGGCUGUCGUCAGCUCGUGUCGUGAGAUGUUGGGUUAAGUCCCGCAACGAGCGCAACCCUCAUCCUUAGUUGCUAUCAGGUAAUGCUGAGUACUUUAAGGAAACUGCCAGUGAUAAGCUGGAGGAAGGUGGGGAUGAUGUCAAGUCAUCAUGGCCUUUAUGGAGUGGGCUACACACAUGCUACAAUGGUGUCUACAAUGGGCUGCAAGGUGCGCAAGCCUAAGCUAAUCCCUAAAAGACAUCUCAGUUCGGAUUGUACUCUGCAACUCGAGUACAUGAAGUUGGAAUCGCUAGUAAUCGUGGAUCAGCAUGCCACGGUGAAUACGUUCUCGGGUCUUGUACACACUGCCCGUCACGCCAUGGGAAUUGGUUUCACUCGAAGCU
rnacentral:rRNA from 1 species